GACGAACGCUGGCGGCGUGCUUAACACAUGCAAGUCGAACGCUGAAGCUUGGUGCUUGCACUGGGUGGAUGAGUGGCGAACGGGUGAGUAAUACGUGAGUAACCUGCCCUUGACUCUGGGAUAAGCCUGGGGAACUGGGUCUAAUACUGGAUAUGACAUGCCACUGCAUGGUGGUGUGUGGAAAGGGUUUUACUGGUUUUGGAUGGGCUCACGGCCUAUCAGCUUGUUGGUGGGGUAAUGGCCUACCAAGGCGACGACGGGUAGCCGGCCUGAGAGGGUGACCGGCCACACUGGGACUGAGACACGGCCCAGACUCCUACGGGAGGCAGCAGUGGGGAAUAUUGCACAAUGGGCGGAAGCCUGAUGCAGCGACGCCGCGUGAGGGAUGACGGCCUUCGGGUUGUAAACCUCUUUCAGCACGGAAGAAGCGAGAGUGACGGUACGUGCAGAAGAAGCGCCGGCUAACUACGUG
rnacentral:rRNA from 1 species